GCUUGAGAACUAUUUGUAUUUUGGUUGUGGGCAUGUCUUAUACUCUAUAUGAUCAAUAAAACUUUAUCUUAUAAAAAACACAAUAGCAGUCACAUCAUCAACAUGUCAUCAUCAUAAAAUUAAAAGUCAUAUGUUUCUUAUAUCUCUCCGUUGUUGAGAGGCUUUGAUGUAUCUCUUCGUUGUUGAGAGGUGUUUUGGGUUGGG
rnacentral:lncRNA from 1 species